rnacentral:rRNA from 1 species
UACGUAGGUGGCAAGCGUUGUCCGGAUUUACUGGGCGUAAAGGAUGCGUAGGCGGACAUUUAAGUCAGAUGUGAAAUACCCGAGCUUAACUUGGGUGCUGCAUUUGAAACUGGGUGUCUAGAGUGCAGGGAGAGGUAAGUGGAAUUCCUAGUGUAGCGGUGAAAUGCGUAGAGAUUAGGAAGAACACCAGUGGCGAAGGCGACUUACUGGACUGUAACUGACGCUGAGGCAUGAAAGCGUGGGGAGCAAACAGG